rfam:Vibrio splendidus LGP32 chromosome 1
GCGGUUUGAACGCUCUUUGGUCAGUGUUAAACAGAUUAAGCCACGGCCAUACAUCGCCAUGAAGUUAAUCGCUUCUGGCGUAACAUGUUCAGCUGCCAUGAUCA